rnacentral:sRNA from 1 species
AGCAAAGCAUAUUGCCGAAGACAGUAGGUGCCGUAAGGCGUAACCGUAGAGAACCUACCGAGGAAAUGCAGAUACUUAUGUAUUUGUAAAUGAGAUUUCAAAUCCUCUCUGUCUUCCACAGAGAGGAUUUUUUA